rnacentral:ncRNA from 1 species
GGCGAUGUCUCCUUGCCGGUAUCGAUGGAGGCACUCGGUCAUGCUGUGGGUCAUGGGCCUUAGACGCGGGUCGUCGAGGGUGUGGCGUGAGGCGGGGUUGGAUGCCC